rnacentral:lncRNA from 1 species
CUUCAUACCCUUCCUCUUCCUGAUGUCAGUCACAAGCGUUGAAGCCUGCGAUCCUGCCUCCAAUGGGUCAGACGACAUCAUCUCCCAAUGAUCAAACACACACUGAGGGAAGGCCUGUCCUGAGGUUGCUGCUCUAAGCUGACUUGAGAAUCCAAAUGACUCGACAACUGGCAGGUACGCCUUGAUGUUGUAAAGCGGUGUUCCUGGCCUCUGCAUCUCCUCAAAGACGUGUCCACGCUUCUGAUUCAGCACGCUGUAGAUUCCUCCAAGAGCUCCCUCUGGUGCUUGGAUCUCAACCAUGUAAACCGGUUCCAAAAGCCUGGGCUUGGCAGUGAUCUGAGAGGCGUAGAUAACCCUCCUCGCUGUCGGGAUAACCUGACCACCACCUCUGUGGAUAGCAUCAGAGUGGAGCACCACAUCGCAAACCUCAAAACAGAUUCCUCUCAUGUUCUCAUCACAAAGAGGACCUUCCUUGGAAGCCCACUGGAACCCAGCAACAACAGAAUCCUUGAUCUCAUUCAGGUAUUGCACUCCCUUACACAUGUCAACAACCAUGUUGGGCCCUGUGGUUUCAGGUCCAAACGCCCAUAUCUUCUUUGCGAGAUCCUUGUCCCAGCCAAACUCCUCAGCCAAGAUCUUGGAACGUAUCUUGGGAUCAUCUCUUGGACCAAUACGGCCUUCAUCAAUCGCCUCCGCAAGACCAUCCUCCAAGGGCCUAGCCUCCAUGUACAGACGGUUGUGCUUGUUCGGGGACUUGCUCAUCACAGUACGCACAGAUCGCUCCAAAACAGUCUCACGGAAUGAGACGACAGGGUCUGACUUGACAAUCUCAGCACCACCCAUGAAAUCAUCCUGAAGAUCCUUCAAGCAAAUCUCAAGAUGCAGUUCUCCAGCACCAGCAACAAUGUGCUCGCCUGACUCCUCCAUUGUGCACACAACCAUAGGGUCAGACUUGGCCAGCCUCUUAAGUCCCUCAACAAGCUUGGGAAGAUCAGAAGCGACCUUGCACUGAACAGCAACACGUACAACAGGGGACACAGAGAACUUCAUCGCACGGAUAGGAUGAGCAUCAACUUCUUUCUCAUUCGUCAGCGUAGCAUUCUUAGUGAUGAACUGAUCAAGACCAACCAUAGCAACGGUGUUACCACAGGGAACAUCCUCAACAGUCUCUUGCCUCUUGCCCAUCCAGAUGACAGUCCUCUGAACACUCUUGACAUAAAGAUCUUUCUUCUCACCAGGAACAAAGUUGGGACCCAUGAUCCUGACCUUCAUACCGGUAGACACCUUUCCAGAGAAGACACGCCCAAAAGCAAAGAAUCUUCCCUUGUCUGAAGCGGGAAUCAUCUUAGAAACAUAGAGCAUGAGCGGACCAUUAGGAUCACAGUUUCUGAUGGCAGUGGCAUACUGAUCAUCGAGAGGACCUUCAUACAGGUUCUCAACACGGUACCUCUGGGCAGUGUGGGGAGAUGGAAGGUGAAAGAUCAUCAUCUCAAGCAAUGCAGUACUCGCAGGGAGCCAAGUCUGCAUAACACGCUUCAUCAAAGGUUUACCCAUAAGGUCCUUCUCAUCAGACUUCAUCUGGACACCAAGCUUCUGCAACAUAGGCCACAACUUAUCCUUCUGGUCGUUCAUGCAAGUGGCGAUGAUCUGCUUGAUGGGUUCAUAACAGAACUGCACAAACCCACGCUUGCAGGUAGCGGACCCAGUGUUCUUGCUGCUCCAUUUCCUGGUGGCGGGGUCAAAGAAGUUCUCACCCCACAGCCUCUCCAUCAUCUUAGUCUCGUCAACACCGAACUUGGAAGCAUACAUCUUGGCAAAGUUGGUAAGGGUGAAAGCCCAUCCGUGGAGACCAGCAGAGAAGGCGACAGUUCCCUUCUCAGGGUAAACCUGAACAUCACCAAGGAGAGGAUCCUCGUACGUUGCCAUGAUGACAUUAGCAUUCUCAAUAACCCUCUGGAAAGUCUGGUAAGCCUCCUCACCAUCAACCUGAAGCUCAAGGAAACACCUGUCCAUCUUGUUCACAGUCAGAACGGGCCUAAUCCUCUCCCCAAGAGCCUGACGUAGCACAGUCUCGGUCUGAACACACACACCCUCGAUACAAUCGACCACCACAAGCGCACCAUCGGUAAUACGGAGCGCAGCAGUGACCUCAGAGGAGAAGUCAACGUGGCCAGGAGAGUCGAUGAGAUUGAUAAGGUACUCGUUUCCAUCUCUGGCACCAGUGAAGCUCUUCAAGGAAGCAUCAGUCAUCUCGUAGUAGAGAGAGAUACCCGUGGACUUGAUAGUGAUACCACGUUCAGCCUCAUCAGCACGGGUAUCAGUCAUACGGACAUCACCAGCAACUUCUUGAGCAAUGAUACCAGCAGCAGCAACCAAGGAGUCAGUGAGUGUGGAUUUACCUGUCAAUCACAAGAUAUAUAAAAGCAUAAGAGACAAUAGAACAGAGUAGUAGGAAACUAAUUAAGUCUGAAAAUUAAAAAAAGACAGUACCAUGGUCGACAUGGGCAAUAACGGACAUGUUACGGAUGUUGUGUUUGUAAUCCAUAAUCCUCCGAAGCUCAUCGGAUGUGAACUUCACCUACAAGUUCAUUAAAAUAAACAAAUAUUUAAGCUUAGAAUCAACAAAAAUAACAACAACAACAAGGCAAAGUAAAAGAUAGUAUAAAAAAGUUAUAAGGCUUUACCAUUUUGACUAACUCUUAUUCUUCACCUACAAUAUCUCUGCAACCACAGAAACAAUAAUAAGAAUUAAUCAACUGAAAUGAAACGAUUUAAAAAAAAAAAUUAACACCAAAAUAAAAUCUCAUAAUCUUCUGAACUUGAAGCUUUUCAACACAGAAAAAUAGAAGAACAGCUCACAAUCAAAUGGUAUUUAUACAUUUCUACGAACAGAUCUAAAGAGACGAGACAGAACGAUAACCAAAAAUGAAAUUAACAACUAAGAGUCAAGGGGGAUUGGUUAAUCUAAACAUCGAAAGCUAAAACUAUGGAGAUUCAAUACGAAAACUAAGCAUCAACAAUCGGAGAUCGUAACAAGGAGGAGACGGACUAACAUUGGAGGGGAAGGAGAGAGAGAGACGAGCUUGAGAGAGCAGAGAUUGAGUGGAGGCGUUCGAUAUAUUCCCUUAUCUCUUCUAGGGUUUUCUCUCUGUUCUUUCGUGGGCCUCUUCGGCCCGAUACAAUAUUGGCCCAAUAGUGGCUAAUAUUUAAUAUUUUGGCCCAAUAUAGUUCGUGUAAGAUUUUGCUUUGAAGUUUUAUGGAAUUUGUUUUAGUUAUAAUGAGCAGUAUUACAAGUGAACAUAAUUUUGUACUAUUAUUUAAACUAAGACUUUAUGAUAGAUUUAUUAUAAAUAAACGGUUUGGAGGAAUCAAUGACGAAAUAUUAACUAUGUUUCCGGUAAUAUUCUAAACAAUAUUUGACAUAACAAUAUUAUUUUCUUUUAUUAUUAUUAUCUUUUAGACAUUAUAAUAUCGAUAUGUUGUGUAUCUGAUUCUGUAUAUGGAAUUUUAAAACCAUCCGAAUAUGUAAAGGCUUUUAAAUUACGGUUUAUCAUAUUCAAGCUUUACGCUAUUCACAACAUUCCAGUGGAAUCAAACAAACAAAAGAUUAACAAUUUAUCUUAUUAUUAAAAAAAAAUCUCCCAAAUGUAGUUUCCAAUUUACUGCUUUGCUCCACGCAUUGACGCUUCAUUUGUUCAACAACUUCAAAACCAGACUGGCAAACCCCAAAGCAACUUAUACAGAACAAUAUAAUCUCCAUUAACUUGGAGAACCGUGACAUCAUUAUUACAUACAAAAGGUUGAUCAUCAUCAGUCACUAGGAAGACUUAAACAUCAGUCGUGACUGCGAAUUAACCCUUGCGGCCUGAUUUCUCUCCUACAAGCUUCGUCUGGAUUGAAAUCAAAAGAAAAAUGGUGUAAUCAGAAAAAAUUAAAUACAAUUAUUCACAGGACGUGGGUGAAUAAGAUGCAACAGAAAAUCCAAAACCUUGUAGUUAUUUUUUCUUGACAUCAAAUCCCAUAGGUGCUGAUGCGGCCUCUAUUUUUGUGACUAUCUCAUUAGCCGGACAUUUUGAAGUAAACUGAGUUUUCCGUUUGACAAGCCCCUGAAAUUAAGCACUGAUUAUCGAAGGGAAAUAAAAAUUGUGAAAUUGGUAUUAUGAUGAACUACUUAUACCACUACUUAAAUUUUGCCUUACUUAGCAGUUUAAAGUACUUUUUGUGGAUUACGAUCCACAUUAAUCAAAUCUUAUCAUUUCAAGCAUUUUAAAUAUAUCAUAUAAUCUAAAAAAUUAUUUUAUUCUGAUUAUUUUUGAAUAAUCACAAAUAAUAAAUAGUAAAAAUUUGAUGUUAUUGGAAGAAUAUCAAGAACCACUGGAACCUUAGCAAUUAAUCUAAAUUUGUAAUGUUGGUAUACAUUCAAAACAUGGUUGAUUGUUUCUUUUGCUGCACACCUUACAUAUUAUGUAUAACACUUAUUCUCAUUAGAUUUGAUAUAACUGUAUUACAAUCCAACAUUAUUUGUCCAAUAAUCUGUCAUCAUUUUGGUGGCACUUGAAUUUCCAAAGAGUGUGGCUGCAAAUAUAUGCUUGUUUUAAUAACCCAAGCGAUUUUACAAUGUAAUGUCAUAUUUAGAAAUUUUUGUUUUUUAUGAGAAAAAAUGUGCUUCUUGCUACGAUAAUACAGUUUUGUUUUGGCUAAUCCGAAUCUUUAUUUAACUGAUCAACUACACUAUGGAGAAGCAGAUUAAUGAUAAUAAGUUUGAAAAGGGGUUGGUCGAACCAGUUUUGUCAUUCAUUAUCUUCGACGGUGAUUGGUAUCUCUCUCAAUAACGCUAUCUUACAUUUUCUCUUUGCACCAAAACAGGAUGCGUCUUUGAUUAGAACCGCAUUCAUCAUACAAUUUCAAGAUUAUACGAUGACAUUUGAAAAACAUAAAACGACCAAGAGUUAAUUAUUCUGAGCCUAUAGUUGCAAGAUAGGAUAUAUUAUGAUGAAUGCUCUUCGACAUAUAGAUGAGAUAAGCAAUGCCAUAAAGAAAAAGAGAUUUUCUGGCUUAUAAAAUACAAAAAUACAAAAACAACUCGAGGGAUCCUUUAAAAAAAAGAAAGACGGUCUCUGUGUUAUAAGUUUUUAGUAGAGUUUUAACUUCAACACCGCAAUAAGGGAAUCAAAAUAUCUGACCUAACAAAACCUCAUCUUCCCUACACCUGCAGAGCAUCAACCUAUGGUUAUGCCUUGGACACUAGCAUCUUAUUGCUUGCAAUGCAUAACAGCAUAUAACAACGUUCCAGUGAUAACAGGAUAACAAGAGUGCAAAGAGUGAACACAUAAGAAGUUUUCUCAACUUCAAGAGUGCAAAGAGUAAACACAUAAGGAUGUGGCAACACAGAUAAAGUCAUAACACCAAAACAGAGUAAACAAAAAUACGGUAGAUAUAACAACGUUCCAAUGAAAACAGGAUAACAAGAGUGCAAAAAAGAGUAAACACAAAGAUAAACCAGUUUUCAACUAAAAAAGUAAAACAUUCAAGAGGAUUGUGGCCACAGAUAAAGUGAUAUCAUAACACCAAAACAGAGCUAACAGUAAACAAAAUACGGUAGAGAUGGAGAGAAAAAGGUGACCAUAGUGAGUCUUGUUGGCUGCUGCUUAUAGCUUGUCUUCGAAGUCAGACAAGGGAGUCAUCUGUUCCUUCAUACCCUUCCUCUUCCUGAUGUCAGUCACAAGCGUUGAAGCCUGCGAUCCUGCCUCCAAUGGGUCAGACGACAUCAUCUCCCAAUGAUCAAACACACACUGAGGGAAGGCCUGUCCUGAGGUUGCUGCUCUAAGCUGACUUGAGAAUCCAAAUGACUCAACAACUGGCAGGUACGCCUUGAUGUUGUACAGCGGUGUUCCUGGCCUCUGCAUCUCCUCAAAGACGUGUCCACGCUUCUGAUUCAGCACGCUGUAGAUUCCACCAAGAGCUCCCUCUGGUGCUUGGAUCUCCACCAUGUAAACCGGUUCCAACAAUCUGGGCUUGGCAGUGAGCUGCGAGGCGUAGAUAACUCUCCUCGCUGUUGGGAUAACCUGACCACCACCUCUGUGGAUAGCAUCGGAGUGGAGCACAACAUCGCAGACCUCAAAGCAGAUUCCUCUCAUAUUCUCAUCACAAAGAGGACCUUCCUUGGAAGCCCACUGGAACCCAGCAACAACAGAAUCCUUGAUCUCAUUCAGGUAUUGAACUCCCUUACACAUGUCAACAACCAUGUUGGGCCCUGUGGUUUCAGGUCCAAACGCCCAUAUCUUCUUCGCAAGAUCCUUGUCCCAACCAAACUCCUCAGCCAAGAUCUUGGAACGUAUCUUGGGAUCAUCUCUUGGACCAAUACGGCCUUCAUCUAUUGCCUCCGCAAGACCAUCCUCCAAGGGCCUAGCCUCCAUGUACAGACG